rnacentral:rRNA from 1 species
GACAGAGGAGCCAAGCGUUGUCCGGACUGACAGGGCGUAAAGCGCACGCAGGCGGCGCUGCGCGUGGGGUGUGAAAGCUCUUGGCUUAACUGAGAGAGGCCAUCCCAUACGGCAGUGCUCGAGCCAUGCAGAGGUCCGCGGAAUUGCCGGUGUAGUGGUGAAAUGCGUAGAGAUCCGGAAGAACACCGGUGGCGAAGGCGGCCUGCUGGGCAGUUGCUGACGCUGAGGCGCGACAGCGUGGGGAGCAAACAGG